UCCAAAGAUGAAAACGCUACAUAGGAAGUGCCGUCUUAUGCGAUAACUGACGAUAGCAAAGCAAAAUUAUUCUGAGG